rnacentral:rRNA from 1 species
GACGAACGCUGGCGGCGUGCUUAACACAUGCAAGUCGAACGGAAAGGCCCUGCUUUUGUGGGGUGCUCGAGUGGCGAACGGGGGAGUAACACGUGAGGAACCUGCCCUUGACUUUGGGAUAACUUCAGGAAACUGGGGCUAAUACCGGAUAGGAGCUCCUGCUGCAUGGUGGGGGUUGGAAAGUUUCGGCGGUUGGGGAUGGACUCGCGGCUUAUCAGCUUGUUGGUGGGGUAGUGGCUUACCAAGGCUUUGACGGAUAGCCGGCCUGAGAGGGUGACCGGCCACAGUGGGACUGAGAUACGGCCCAGACUCCUACGGGAGGCAGCAGUGAGGAAUAUUGCACAAUGGGCGGAAGCCUGAUGCAGCAACGCCGCGUGCGGGAUGACGGCCUUCGGGUUGUAAACCGCUUUCGCCUGUGACGAAGCGUGAGUGACGGUAAUGGGUAAAGAAGCACCGGCUAACUACGUG